UGGGUUUUAUCCCCAAAGUACUUCGAUUUUCCACUUCCUAUAACGCUGACGAUGAGUCGCUGAUCCAUAUGAGGUUCUCUGGAUUUGUUGCCUUCCUUCUUAUUCGUGUGUUCAAGGUUGUAGCUCCGGUUAAAAUGACAUUUGAAACGUAAGCCAGCUUACUGGUAAUAGGGAGAACAGGGGCAGUAACUAUACGUGUAGCUGGUGUUCUCAAAGACUGGAUUCUCAUAGUUCUCUCCACAGUCAUUUUCCCUGAGUCAACCAUCACUGGCCUGAAUAUCUGCGCUAUGUGGUGUCGUCAUGUACAAUUAGAUCAAAGUAAAGGACGUGAAGGCGUCUCAAACAACUGCUGACAGUCUCCCGGAUCGAAUCAACAAGGAGAGGAAGAUGGAGAAGAAGUCUUCAGAUAAAUUCAAUCCUGAUGUUGGUGGAGAGAUCCCAAGAGUAGGAGCAGAGAUAAACGACGAGGAAGCACCUUUGAUCACGUCACGGUUAUCUCAUAUCGGUAGGACGCAGCUCGGAAAUCACGCUGCUUAUGAUAGAGGUUUUG